rnacentral:tRNA from 1 species
GCUUGGAUGGCGGAAUUGGUAGACGCUCAGGACUUAAAAUCCUGUGACCGCAAGGUCGUGUGGGUUCAAGUCCCACUCCGAGUA